rnacentral:rRNA from 1 species
CGGAGCUAACGCGUUAAGUAGACCGCCUGGGGAGUACGGCCGCAAGGUUAAAACUCAAAUGAAUUGACGGGGGCCCGCACAAGCGGUGGAGCAUGUGGUUUAAUUCGAUGCAACGCGAAGAACCUUACCUGGUCUUGACAUCCACAGAAGAAUCCAGAGAUGGAUUUGUGCCUUCGGGAACUGUGAGACAGGUGCUGCAUGGCUGUCGUCAGCUCGUGUUGUGAAAUGUUGGGUUAAGUCCCGCAACGAGCGCAACCCUUAUCCUUUGUUGCCAGCGGUUAGGCCGGGAACUCAAAGGAGACUGCCAGUGAUAAACUGGAGGAAGGUGGGGAUGACGUCAAGUCAUCAUGGCCCUUACGACCAGGGCUACACACGUGCUACAAUGGCGCAUACAAAGAGAAGCGACCUCGCGAGAGCAAGCGGACCUCAUAAAGUGCGUCGUAGUCCGGAUUGGAGUCUGCAACUCGACUCCAUGAAGUCGGAAUCGCUAGUAAUCGUGGAUCAGAAUGCCACGGUGAAUACGUUCCCGGGCCUUGUACACACCGCCCGUCACACCAUGGGAGUGGGUUGCAAAAGAAGUAGGUAGCUUAACCUUCGGGAGGGCGCUUACCACUUUGUGAUUCAUGACUGGGGUGAAGUCGUAACAAGGUAACCGUAGGGGAACCUGCGGUUGGAUCACCUCCUUACCUUAAAGAA